ensembl:misc_RNA Metazoa_SRP Metazoan signal recognition particle RNA
GCCAGGGGUGGUGGCAUGCACCUGUAGUCCCAGCUACUCAGGAGGCUGAGGCAAGAGGAUUGCUUGAGCCUAGGAGUUCUAGGUUACACUGAGCUAUGAUCCUGCCAGUGCACUCCAGCCUAGGUGACAGAGUGAGACUUUGCCUCUA